CGGAAGGGGCGGCGGAGCACCGAUCUCAUGGAUGGGCUCCGAGGGGCUUGCGGGAGGGGGGCGCCAGUGUUCGGGGCCGUUUUGGCGGCUAUGCAGGAUUGGCAGGAGCUGCGAUGCUCACACUUGCCUCGCCGACCGCCAUUUCACAUCCAGCAGAGGAGGCGGGGGCAGCCGCUGAGACGGUUUUUCACAAGGAAAUGACCUCAUUCUUGAUGGCUGCUGCUAACUUAUGGUGAGAUGCUGGGUCCCUGCCCAAUACCACAUGGACAUCCAAUCAAUUUACCCAGGGACAAGUCCACUCAAGAGCAUCAUUUAGAAGAGGGAAAAGGCACUGGGGUUAUUUGUUUUUGGAGUAUGUGCUUAAGGAAAUCUAGAGUAUUCCCACGAGCAUUCUGCUGAGAUGAACAAUCAGAUGACCUCGUGUGAGAUUUGGAGGAGAGAAGGAAAUGGAGAGCAUGCGUCUGCCGCUUCUGUGGUUUCUGUCGGUAAGCACAGUGAUGAGGUGCUGAGUUUUCCCCAGAAGGCCUCCCAGUGUCCUAUUACCAGCUUCACAAGCGUCGAGGGCAGGGCAUGGGCAUCUAUUGUUCACCAGUGGAGAUCUAUCUGGCACAGAACCGAUCCAACCAUUGCAGUGGUCACAGCGGUGUUGGCUUUCUGAUUCUCAACCUUCCUGACCGCCAGAGGAGACAGCCUCUUUGGUGGCCCUGUUCUGUGGUAUUGUGCUAACCGGUGGUGGGACUAAAACUGUCUCUAUAAUGUUUUAUUUCUUAAAAAAAAAUUCUGAAGCAAAUGUGACAAUAUGUUAACAUUCUUAAAAUCUGGGUAGUGGGAACAUGGAUGUUGUUAUUUGUGGUGUGUUUGAAAUUGUGUCAUAUUAUAAAUUUUAAAAAAAUGUUUUGACUACAAAAUCUCUAUGUAUAUGCCCAGUUUUUGUAGAUUGUUGCUUACGCUUUUCAUAUUUUUACCCAAGGAGUAAUCAGGAAUUCUAAAAGUCUUAUGUAACAGGAUUUAAAAUAAAAUUACACAGAAUCUCAACUGUACUAUAUUUUGAAAAUAUGAAUGAUUAAGAUUAUUUUUUAUAUUUUUAUUAAUAUAGAGAAAAUAAUUUCUAUAAAAUAUGCUUUCAGCUAAUGGGGGAUCCCAUUCCAUAUUUUUUUCUUUUUCUUUUUUUUUUUUAUUUCUCCAAGAAAAACUCAUUCCAGUUCUUUUGCAUUAAAUUCUCUUAUACCAAAAAAAUUGUUUCAAAAGUUGCUUAGUUGUUAUAGAAGAUGAUUGCUUAUAUGAUAAAGAAAUGUUAAGGCCUUGAUAAUAUUCAAAAGCUUCUGUAUAAAAACAAUACCAUGGAAAUUAAUGACAGAGUAAACUUUCUGAAUUAAAGUUCUCUUUCAAACUAUGAGUAAGAGGAGAAUUAGCUGGCUUCUUUUUUCUUUUUUUUGAGGCAGGGUCUUGCUCUGUCACCCAGGCUCAAUCACAGCUCACUGCAGCCUUGACCUCCUGGGCUCAGGUGAUUUUCCCACCUUAGCCUCCUGAGUAGCUGGGACCACAGGCAUGAGCCACCACACCUGGCUAAUUUUUGUAUUAUUUUGGUAGAGAUGGGAUUUCGCCAUGUUGCCCAAGCUGGUCACAAACUUCCUGCCUUGGCCUCCCAAAGUGCUGGGAUUACAGGCAUGAGCCACUAUGCCCAACCUCAGUUGGAUGGGUUUGUGUGUAUGUGUGUGUGUGUUUUGUUUGUUUUUUAGUUUUUGAGACAGAGUCUCACUCUGUCACCCAGGCUGGAGUGCAGUGGCACAAUCACGGCUCACUGCAGCCAUGACCUCUUGUGCUCAGGCAGUUCUCCUGCCUCAGCCUCCUUAGUAGCUGGAACCACAGGUAUGUGCCACCACACCCGGCUAAUUUUUGUAUUUUUUUGUAGAGAUGGGUUUUCGCUAUGUUGCCCAGGCUGGUCUCAAAUUCCUGGGCUCAAACAAUCCACCCACCUCUGCCUCCCAAAGUGCUGGGAUUACAGGUGUGAGCCACCAAGCCCAGCCUAGCUCCUCUACCUGAACUUAUUUUUCAUUAUCCUAAAGUGAUAAAAUAGAUCAAGAAGAUCAGAACAGGCUUAAAUUGAUGCUAUAAAACCAAUUACUCUGUAUUAUCUUUGCAACUCUUUUGUAAGUCUAAAAUUGUUUGAAAAUAAAAGUUUAUUUUAAAAAUUA
rnacentral:lncRNA from 1 species